AAACUCUCUCAAAAUUCACUGACUUAAAGCAACAAUAAUAGAGAUCUUUAGUGGUCAGCUGAAGGUUAACUAAUCCAGGCUGGGCUCAGCUAGGGCUGUUCAGCUCUACUCUAUGUGACUCUUGUCUUGGGCAUGUUCUUCUCAGGUGCAAGAGAGCAUACUCAGUCAUGUAAGUGCUUUUCAAGCCUUUGAUUGCAUCACAACUGCUAAAAUCUCAUUGGCCAAAGCAAGUCACGCGAUCCAUCCCAGAGCCAGGGGGGUGGGGAAAUACUCCAUAACUGCAGUGAGAGGAUGCUGCAAAAUUACUGCAAAGGAAUUGGAUGUAUAAUCUUAUUUCUGGGGAAGGAAUGAAGAGUUGGAACAAUAACCCAGUCCACCACACUGCAGCAGGCAGGAGGGUCAGAGUAAGAGAAAGAGAUGUGACAACAGAAGUAUAGAGAGAUUUUAAGAUGCUAUGCUGCUGGCUUUGAAGAUGGAGGAAAGGGCCGCAAAGGAAUGCAGGUGGCUUCUAUAAACUGAAAAAGGCAAGGAAAAGUAUUCUCUCCUGCAGCCUCCAGAAGGACCGCAGCCCUGCUGACACCUUGAUUUUAGCCCAGUGAAAGCCAUUGUGGACAUCUGACUUCUGGAACUGUAUGAUAAUACAUUUGUGGUGUUUCAGGCCCCUAAGUUUGUGGUACUUUGUUACAGCAGCAAUUGGAAACUAAUACACACACCUAAAAAAUCUAUAAACUGAGUAAGAGAUUUCUAAAUAAUCAGUAAAACCAGCAUAUGUAAUGAUACUACCAAUUAAAUAUCAUUUUAGUUAAUCGGACUUUCUGCAGAAAAUAUAUUAAUACUUGACUUUAGUUUCUUUAUUAUUAUAUAUAACUGUUUAACAGUUUUUUCAUAUAUCAAACACAUAUUCCCUCCACAAAAUCAUUCCUAACUCCAUCAUUCCUAAACUCCAGGCUUGAAUAAUGAAUGUAGUUUGACAACACAUAUUUACAAAGGCAGUAACUAUGGCAGUCCAGCCUUGUGAACUUCCCUGAGAUUCUUCCCAUCUUCAAAUUCAUGCCAG
rnacentral:lncRNA from 1 species